ACUUGUCAGUGGUGGCUAAAUAGUAACUCCCAAUUAACAUAGCAACAAACGGUCACUUCCAGCUUAUCAGCCAUGGCUGUUACUCUCUCCUCAGUCUCAGCCUGCGCGUGUCUGCUUCGUUCACCGCGCAAGGCUGUGUCCCAGUUUUCACCACAAAUCUUCAAAUUGGGUUCCACUCCUCUGCUUCCGCGGACCACUUUACGGCCCAGAAAGCUUGUCGUUCGAGCUGCCAGAACCGAGUCCAGAGGAGUAUCUCUCGGCUUCAGACCUCCCAAUUUUGAGCUUCCAGAGCCACUUACCGGGAAAGUUUGGAAAUUGGAGGAUUUUGAAUCCCAUCCUGCUUUACUGGUUAUGUUUAUCUGCAACCACUGCCCAUUUGUUAUACACCUGAAAAAUGCUAUUGUGAAACUUACGAAUUUUUAUAUGAAGAAAGGACUUGCAGUUGUUGCGAUAUCUUCAAAUUCUGUAAUAACGCACCCACAGGAUGGACCAGAAUUUAUGUCAGAAGAAGCUAAACUUUUCAAGUAUCCUUUCCCAUAUCUAUAUGAUGAGUCACAGGAUGUUGCUCGAGAAUUUGGAGCAGUUUGCACACCAGAGUUUUUCCUGUUUAAAAAGGAUGGACGCAGGCCUUUCGAAUUGGUGUACCAUGGCCAGUUUGAUGAUUCGAGACCUAGUAAAAAUGUGCCUGUAACUGGAAGGGACUUGAGCCUGGCAAUAGAUUGUGCUCUCAGUUGCCAACCAGUAUCAUCAGCUCAGAAACCCAGCAUUGGAUGCAGCAUAAAGUGGCACCCUGAGAGAUAACAAGAUUAUAAUCUUUCCUUCCUGUCCUGUUUCAUUUCUUUGGAUCCUUAAAGCCACAAAAAGCCAGGAAAAAUGGUAUCUCCAUCCUUAGUCCCUUGUUCAGUGGGAGUGGUUUUUAAUUAUAGUCUGUUAAUUAUACAGGACGUACACCAACAAGCAGGAAAUUCCUCUUCUCUAUGUUCACCAUUCUGUGAUCUUAAAAUACCCAAACAAACAUACCUCUUGGCUUCAUACAUAAAUUCAUGUAUAUGUAUUUGCACCAACACAUUCAAGCUCAUGGACAUGGGCCUAAAGGAGAACUCUUUGUGGUAUGUAUUCUCUUCUGCUAUGAGGCUGUAGGACUUUUUGCCUCUAUUGAUUUGUAAGGCUGUAUAUAUGAUAUUGAGAGAAUAAGUUUAGAGACAUUUUUCACUUUAACAGUCGAAAAGGACACACUAUUUUUCAUUUGUCA